UCCUAUUACGUAAAUUUAUUGUAUACAAUACACAAGUAGUUGUAAUAUAUUAAAAAAAAUUGACUGUUAGCAUUCUUCAGGUCAACCAACCAUUUGCUGGGGCAUCUUAUAGCUGCAGCAAAAACCUGCAAAUCCCUGAACAAUCCUCAAACGAAACCCACAUCCACAUCCCUCCGUUUCUUUUCCUCCACAAUGGUGGUCGUUGAAGCGCUCAUGGUCUCUGCCCUUGUGAGCACGCUCACCGCAAAUGCAGGCACGCUGCUCAACCGGGAGCUGGGAUUAGCAUGGGAUGCAAAGUUGGAGCUAAGGAAACUCGUCAGCACGCUGUCAACGAUCGAAACCAUGCUUCAGGCCUCCGAAGAGAUGCCGAGCCACAACCGAGAAAUGCAGCAAUGGCUGCGAAAGCUUCAGGAUGCGGUUGACGAGGCCACGAUCCUGCUCGACAGUUUCUUCCUGAAGAAAGGUCAACUCUUCCCACUCUCCAGUAAAUUUCCAUAUAUCAAUGGGCCUGCUCAUGAUAUUAAGGAUAUUAAGGAGAUAAUAGAGGCACUUGGCAAAGAGAAAGGCUUCCUUUCGGAUGCCAGAGGAAAUAACGUCACAGUUGCAGUUCAAGAAGCAACUGACCCUUCUCUUCCUCAUUCAGAAGUCCACGAGAGAGUGGCAGAGAAAGAAGUCAUUGUAGAACUUCUAAGAGACACUAGUUGUCAGGAAAAGAUCUCUGUCAUUCCGAUCGUCGGCAUCCCAGGAAUUGGGAAAACAACUCUCGCAAAGAUGGCAUUCAAUGAUAAUCGGGUGACAGAGGAGUUCAGAAAUGGGUUGAUGAUAUGGGUUUGGGUGUCUGACGGUAUUGAUGUCAAGAAAAUAGCACAAGAUAUUCUACAGUCUGCAGCCUCGCAGAAUCGUGUUGUUAAGUCAUAUUGGAAUUGGUUAAGGACGCACCUUCAACAAAUAUUGCCUGGGAGAAAAUCCUUAGAGCCUACGGCCUCACAGAAUCAUGUUGACAAUCCAAACUGGGAUCAGACGAAGACGCGCCUUCAACAAAUAUUACAAGGAAAAAAAUUCCUACUGGUUCUCGACAACGUCUGGAAUGACAGCGGAAAGAACUGGGAUGAGCUUAAGCAUAUCUUAGAGGAAGGCGAACAUGGAAGUAAAGUCAUAGUAACCACCCGAAACAAUAAAGUAGCAAAUAUAAUGAAAACAACCAACCCCUAUCACCUAGAAGGUUUAAAAGAGUCUUCUUGCUGGUCAAUAUUUGCGCAAACAGCAUUUAAGGGAAGACAGAAUAUAAACCAGUUCUUGGAAGAAAUCGGAUGGAAGAUUGCAGGAAAAUCCAAAGGAGUGCCUCUGGCCGCAGAAGCUCUUGGGAGGUUGAUGCACCAGAAAGAUGAGGCUGAGUGGUUAUCCGUCAAAAACUCUGAAAUAUGGAACUUAGCCGAAGAGAAUGAAAUUUUAAACACACUCAGGAUGAGUUAUAAGCACCUACCCAAGCAUGCAUACAGGUGCUUGGCGUAUUGUUCCGUAUUUCCCAGAGAUUACGAAAUUGACAGAGACAUUAUAAUCAAACUCUGGAUAGCCCAUGAUUUCAUUCAACCAAAAGGAAGUAAGGAGGUGGAAGACAUAGGUCAUGAUACCUUUCAGCACCUUCUCGAUAGGUUCUUCUUCCAACCCCUUCGGAAAGACGAAGAAGGCAGAACAACGACAUUCAAAUUACAUGCGCUCAUCUAUGAUCUUGCAAGAUGUGAGAUGGAAAUCAGCAUCAACCGCCACUUUUUUAGCUACGGGUCCGUAUCAGAUGUUCCUAAAAAUGUGUAUUUGCGCACGCUCUGCCUAUUAAAUUGUCCACAAAGGUCUGCUCCUGAGGUUCAAGGUCCUAUCUACAAUAAAUUUCGACUUUUGCGGGCAUUAGAUCUGAGUAACAGUGCUGUCACAUUUCUUCCAGACUCGGUGGGCGGUAUAAUGCAUCUUAGAUACAUUAACCUUUCUGGCACUGACAUAGAAAGCUUACCCGCAGCUCUCUCUGGUCUCGAGAAUUUACAGUCACUGAUAUUGAAAAGGUGUUUAAAGCUUCGUAAAUUACCUCCAAAGAUGAGGAAGAUGAAAAGCCUCAGGCAUCUAGAUGUUGAUGAAUGUGAAUCCCUUGACCACAUGCCGAACCGAAUCGGUCAACUGCAAUUCCUGCAAACACUGCCGAUAUUCAUUGUGGGUAAGGAGAAAGGGUACAACAUGCGACAGUUGGGGGCGCUCAAUCUUCGAGGCAAACUAGAUAUUAGAUACCUUGGGAAUGUUGAAAAUGGAUCAGAAGCGGGGGAUGCAAACUUGAAGGAGAAGGAACACCUCAACACUUUGUCCUUAUCAUGGAAAGCAGGCAAUUGUAGAAAUUUGCCAGGCUCUGAUAAGGUGUUUGAUGCACUCCAGCCACAUAAGUAUCUGAAAAGAUUAUCAGUACAAGAGUACAAGGGAAAAAGCUUCGCCAGUUGGCUUAACAGUUACUGUCUUCCAAAUCUGGUGGAACUCACUCUGAUUAACUGCAGAGGAUGCGAGAGUCUUCCACCCCUUGGGGAGCUACCAUCACUUAAGAGUCUAACGAUUGGGGGACUUGAUGCCGCCAGGUGCUUUGGUAAAGCUUUCUAUGGAUUCAAUACUCAACUAGCUGCAUUUCCAUCGUUGGAAGAACUCAACUGCUUAGACAUGAUUUGCCUGGAGUCAUGGGAAUCAGAGAAAGAAGACUCGUUUCCCCGUCUCUCAGUGCUCAUUAUUAAAAGAUGCUCGAAACUGUCAAACCUUCCACGGAUAUCCUCGAGGUCACUCAGGCACUUGGAAAUAGUAGAUUGUCCUAAUCUUGAUUCGACUAAGGCAACUAAGGCCCUCAAAAACCUCCAUUUUAUAACGUCGCUGAAGAUAGAACGUUGUGAUCGGCUGAUGUCUUUGCCAGAAGGUUUGAGAAGACUUACAUCACCUUGACUAUUCAGAAGUGUACCAUAAAGGUUUGUGAUAGAACGUUGCUGCAUUUCCAAAUGCUCACCUUCUGCUCCAGACGAUAGCCUCCUCGAGAUAUUGUUGAUCAGAACCAACUCUUAUUGCUGAGACAUGGAUGAAUUUGUUGCCCGUUCGUAAAACACAUAGGCUAUGGUGGCUUGACAGUGAGCUCCAGUAUAAAGAACAUCCUCAGCGUCUUCAUUACCAGCAUGCUACCUCACCCUUCUAAUGCAAUUCCUCUACAUUUUUAUUGCCUCUCUUUGUCUCCCCUUCUUUUGUGAUAUCUUCUUGUAAUUUUUUAUAAACUGGAUGUAGACGGCAAAUAAUUUUUCCUAUUGUUGGGAAAUCAAGGGGAUACCAGAAUAACAGUUUACCUUAAUAAACUUUCAGUUGCUCAAUAUAAGAUGAAGAUUAAAGGCAAGAGUCAUUGCCUAAACAAAGACAUUCAAGUUAUAGUAAAUAGUAAUAAUUUAUCAUAUCAACUUAUAUUAACCAAAAGAUAAAAGAAAUUAAUAUUUGAUAUCCAUGUAAUAAGAUGGUAAAGACACUAUAUUCUUUUCUAUUAACAUACCAUUGCCAUCUUCUGUUAUAGCCUGUUCUGUUGAGGGCUUUAUCUGUAUGCAAACACAAUUAUGGUGAGGUUCUUUUAUUUUUUCCAAACAUGAACUAAAAGUUGAGUUAUCCAAAUCACUGAAA